UUAAGCGACUAAGCGUACACGGUGGAUGCCCUGGCAGUCAGAGGCGAUGAAGGACGUGCUAAUCUGCGAAAAGCGUCGGUAAGGUGAUAUGAACCGUUACAGCCGGCGAUGUCCGAAUGGGGAAACCCAGUGCAAUUCGUUGCACUAUCGUUAACUGAAUACAUAGGUUAACGAGGCGAACCGGGGGAACUGAAACAUCUAAGUACCCCGAGGAAAAGAAAUCAACCGAGAUUCCCCCAGUAGCGGCGAGCGAACGGGGAGCAGCCCAGAGUCUGAAUCAGCUUGUGUGUUAGUGGAACGGUCUGGAAAGUCCGACGGUACAGGGUGAUAGUCCCGUACACCAAAAUGCACAGGCUGUGAACUCGAAGAGUAGGGCGGGACACGUGGUAUCCUGUCUGAAUAUGGGGGGACCAUCCUCCAAGGCUAAAUACUCCUGACUGACCGAUAGUGAACCAGUACCGUGAGGGAAAGGCGAAAAGAACCCCGGCGAGGGGAGUGAAAAAGAACCUGAAACCGUGUACGUACAAGCAGUGGGAGCACCUUCGGGUGUGACUGCGUACCUUUUGUAUAAUGGGUCAGCGACUUAUAUUCUGUAGCAAGGUUAACCGUAUAGGGGAGCCGCAGGGAAACCGAGUCUUAACUGGGCGUUAAGUUGCAGGGUAUAGACCCGAAACCCGGUGAUCUAGCCAUGGGCAGGUUGAAGGUUGGGUAACACUAACUGGAGGACCGAACCGACUAAUGUUGAAAAAUUAGCGGAUGACUUGUGGCUGGGGGUGAAAGGCCAAUCAAACCGGGAGAUAGCUGGUUCUCCCCGAAAGCUAUUUAGGUAGCGCCUCGUGAACUCAUCUUCGGGGGUAGAGCACUGUUUCGGCUAGGGGGUCAUCCCGACUUACCAACCCGAUGCAAACUACGAAUACCGAAGAAUGUUAUCACGGGAGACACACGGCGGGUGCUAACGUCCGUCGUGAAGAGGGAAACAACCCAGACCGCCAGCUAAGGUCCCAAAGUCAUGGUUAAGUGGGAAACGAUGUGGGAAGGCACAGACAGCCAGGAUGUUGGCUUAGAAGCAGCCAUCAUUUAAAGAAAGCGUAAUAGCUCACUGGUCGAGUCGGCCUGCGCGGAAGAUGUAACGGGGCUAAACCAUGCACCGAAGCUGCGGCAGCGACACUAUGUGUUGUUGGGUAGGGGAGCGUUCUGUAAGCCUGCGAAGGUGUGCUGUGAGGCAUGCUGGAGGUAUCAGAAGUGCGAAUGCUGACAUAAGUAACGAUAAAGCGGGUGAAAAGCCCGCUCGCCGGAAGACCAAGGGUUCCUGUCCAACGUUAAUCGGGGCAGGGUGAGUCGACCCCUAAGGCGAGGCCGAAAGGCGUAGUCGAUGGGAAACAGGUUAAUAUUCCUGUACUUGGUGUUACUGCGAAGGGGGGACGGAGAAGGCUAUGUUAGCCGGGCGACGGUUGUCCCGGUUUAAGCAUGUAGGCUGGUUAUCCAGGCAAAUCCGGAUAAUCAAGGCUGAGGUGUGAUGACGAGGCACUACGGUGCUGAAGUAACAAAUGCCCUGCUUCCAGGAAAAGCCUCUAAGCAUCAGGUAACAUCAAAUCGUACCCCAAACCGACACAGGUGGUCAGGUAGAGAAUACCAAGGCGCUUGAGAGAACUCGGGUGAAGGAACUAGGCAAAAUGGUGCCGUAACUUCGGGAGAAGGCACGCUGGUGUGUAGGUGAAGCCCCUGCGGGUGGAGCUGAGACCAGUCGAAGAUACCAGCUGGCUGCAACUGUUUAUUAAAAACACAGCACUGUGCAAACACGAAAGUGGACGUAUACGGUGUGACGCCUGCCCGGUGCCGGAAGGUUAAUUGAUGGGGUUAUCCGUAAGGAGAAGCUCUUGAUCGAAGCCCCGGUAAACGGCGGCCGUAACUAUAACGGUCCUAAGGUAGCGAAAUUCCUUGUCGGGUAAGUUCCGACCUGCACGAAUGGCGUAAUGAUGGCCAGGCUGUCUCCACCCGAGACUCAGUGAAAUUGAACUCGCUGUGAAGAUGCAGUGUACCCGCGGCAAGACGGAAAGACCCCGUGAACCUUUACUAUAGCUUGACACUGAACAUUGAGCCUUGAUGUGUAGGAUAGGUGGGAGGCUUUGAAGCGUGGACGCCAGUCUGCGUGGAGCCAACCUUGAAAUACCACCCUUUAAUGUUUGAUGUUCUAACGUUGGCCCCUGACCGGGGUUGCGGACAGUGUCUGGUGGGUAGUUUGACUGGGGCGGUCUCCUCCCAAAGCGUAACGGAGGAGCACGAAGGUUAGCUAAUCCUGGUCGGACAUCAGGAGGUUAGUGCAAUGGCAUAAGCUAGCUUGACUGCGAGCGUGACGGCGCGAGCAGGUGCGAAAGCAGGUCAUAGUGAUCCGGUGGUUCUGAAUGGAAGGGCCAUCGCUCAACGGAUAAAAGGUACUCCGGGGAUAACAGGCUGAUACCGCCCAAGAGUUCAUAUCGACGGCGGUGUUUGGCACCUCGAUGUCGGCUCAUCACAUCCUGGGGCUGAAGUAGGUCCCAAGGGUAUGGCUGUUCGCCAUUUAAAGUGGUACGCGAGCUGGGUUUAGAACGUCGUGAGACAGUUCGGUCCCUAUCUGCCGUGGGCGCUGGAGAAUUGAGGGGGGCUGCUCCUAGUACGAGAGGACCGGAGUGGACGCAUCACUGGUGUUCGGGUUGUCAUGCCAAUGGCACUGCCCGGUAGCUAAAUGCGGAAGAGAUAAGUGCUGAAAGCAUCUAAGCACGAAACUUGCCCCGAGAUGAGUUCUCCCUGAGACUUUAAGUCUCCUGAAGGAACGUUGAAGACGACGACGUUGAUAGGCCGGGUGUGUAAGCGCAGCGAUGCGUUGAGCUAACCGGUACUAAUGAACCGUGAGGCUUAACCU
rnacentral:rRNA from 1 species